rfam:Triticum urartu cultivar G1812 contig31208, whole genome shotgun sequence.
AGCCAGUGAUGUUUUCAAAAUAUUUGCUACUCUUGAUGGGGCAACGACCUCAUUUGACGAUCACAACCACCAAGAUCUCUGAGGCC